rfam:Agrobacterium radiobacter K84 chromosome 1, complete sequence.
CCUCUUCGAUCUGUUGCGGGCAAAUGAAGUGGAUAUGUGCGUCCAUGCCCCCCGCAGUCAGGAUCUUGCCUUCACCGGCAAUGAUUUCCGUCGAAGGACCGAUGAUGAUCGUGAUCCCUGGCUGGGUGUCCGGGUUGCCGGCCUUGCCGAUCGCGGCGAUGCGGCCAUUCUUCAAACCGACAUCCGCCUUGACGAUGCCCCAGGUGUCGACGAUCAGCGCGUUGGUGAUGACGGUAUCGACGGCGCCGUUUGCCCGCGUCACCUGGCUCUGCCCCAUACCGUCGCGAAUG